rnacentral:lncRNA from 1 species
CCAGCUUGCUACCUACGGCCCGGCUAGCUGUCUGAAUCUCACUGGACCCUCUGAUCACUCGGCUAAGCAUGCCUCUCCUUAAUGUCAAUAUGCCUUGUCCAUUGCUGUUCUGGUUAGUGUUUAUUGGCUUAUUUCACUGUAGAGCCUCUAGCCCUGCUCAUUAUACCUUAUCCAACCUCUCAGUUCCUCCACCCACACAUGCUAUGACAUCUUCUGGUUUCAAUGAUGUUUCUAGAGACAAUAUCUCUCUCAUAAUCACUAAAUGCCUAGGUUUACCUCCUCUGUACUCACAUCCCACCAUACCUUUGUCUGUACAUUAUACCUUGAAGCUAUUUUAUCGCCCCCAGAAACCUGCUCCUUUUUCUCUCUAUUCUGGACGUCACAGACGACCAAUUCUUAUAGCUUUUAGCCGUACCCUCAUACUUAUUCUUCUCUGCUCCUCUGGGGAUGUAGAGGUGAAUCCAGGCCCUGCAGUGCCUGGCUCCACACCUACUCCCCAGGCGCUCUCUUUUGAUGACUUCUGUAACCGUAAUAGCCUUGGUUUCAUGCAUGUUAACAUUAGAAGCCUCCUCCCUAAGUUUGUUUUAUUCACUGCUUUAGCACACUCUGCCAACCCGGAUGUCCUAGCUGUGUCUGAAUCUUGGCUUAGGAAGUCCACCAAAAACUGUGAAAUCUUCAUCCCUAACUACAACGUUUUCAGACAAGAUAGAACGACCAAAGGGGGCGGUGUUGCAAUCUACUGCAGAGAUAGCCUGCAGAGUUCUGUCCUGCUAUCCAGGUCUGUACCCAAACAAUUUGAACUUCUACUUCUAAAAAUCCAUCUCUCCAAAAACAAGUCUCUCACCGUUGCCGCCUGCUAUAGACCCCCCUCGGCCCCUAGCUGUGCUCUGGACACCAUAUGUGAACUGAUUGCCCCCCAUCUAUCUUCAGAGCUCGUGCUACUAGGCGACAUAAACUGGGACAUGCUUAACACCCCAGCCAUUCUACAAUCCAAGCUUGAUGCCCUCAAUCUCACACAAAUUAUUAAUGAACCCACCAGGUACAACCCCAAAGCCGCAAACUCUGGCACCCUCAUAGAUAUCAUCCUAACCAAUGUGCCCUCUAAUUACACCUCUGCUGUUUUCAACCAAGAUCUCAGCGAUCACUGCCUCAUUGCCUGCACCCGUAAUGGGUCAGCGGUCAAACGACCUCCACUCAUCACUGUCAAACGCUCCCUGAAACAUUUCAACGAGCAAGCCUUUCUAAUCGACCUGGCCCUGGUAUCCUGGAAGGAUAUUGACCUCAUCCCGUCAGUAGAGGAUGCCUGGUUAUAUUUUAAAAAUGCCUUCCUCACCAUCUUAAAUAAGCAUGCCCCUUUCAAGAAAUUUAGAACCAGGAACAGAUAUAGCCCUUGGUUCUCCCCAGACCUGACUGCCCUUAACCAACACAAAAAUAUCCUGUGGCGUUCUGCAUUAGCCUCGAACUGCCCCCGCGAUAUGCAACUUUUUAGGGAAGUUAGAAACCAAUACACACAGGCAGUUAGAAAUGCCAAGGCUAGCUUUUUCAAACAAAAAUUUGCUUCGUGCAACUCCAACUCUAAAAAGUUCUGGGACAUUGUAAAGUCCAUGGAGAAUAAGAA